rnacentral:rRNA from 1 species
AACGAACGCUGGCGGCAUGCCUAACACAUGCAAGUCGAACGAUGCCUUCGGGCAUAGUGGCGCACGGGUGCGUAACGCGUGGGAAUCUGCCUUUCGGUUCGGAAUAACUCAGGGAAACUUGAGCUAAUACCGGAUAACGUCGCAAGACCAAAGAUUUAUCACCGAACGAUGAGCCCGCGUAGGAUUAGCUAGUUGGUGAGGUAAAGGCUCACCAAGGCGACGAUCCUUAGCUGGUCUGAGAGGAUGAUCAGCCACACUGGGACUGAGACACGGCCCAGACUCCUACGGGAGGCAGCAGUGGGGAAUAUUGGACAAUGGGCGAAAGCCUGAUCCAGCAAUGCCGCGUGAGUGAUGAAGGCCUUAGGGUUGUAAAGCUCUUUUACCCGGGAAGAUAAUGACGGUACCGGGAGAAUAAGCCCCGGCUAACUCCGUG